rnacentral:rRNA from 1 species
AUUGAACGCUGGCGGCAUGCUUUACACAUGCAAGUCGAACGGUAACAGCACUUCGGUGGCUGACGAGUGGCGAACGGGUGAGUAAUACAUCGGAACGUGCCUAGUAGUGGGGGAUAACUACUCGAAAGAGUAGCUAAUACCGCAUGAGAUCUAAGGCUGACAGCAGGGGACCUUCAGGCCUUGCGCUACUAGAGCGGCUGAUGGCAGAUUAGGUAGUUGGUGGGAUAAAAGCUUACCAAGGCGACGAUCUGUAGCUGGUCUGAGAGGACGACCAGCCACACUGGGACUGAGACACGGCCCAGACUCCUACGGGAGGCAGCAGUGGGGAAUUUUGGACAAUGGGCGCAAGCCUGAUCCAGCAAUGCCGCGUGCAGGAUGAAGGCCUUCGGGUUGUAAACUGCUUUUGUACGGAACGAAAAGCCCUCUGCUAAUACAGGAGGGUCAUGACGGUACCGAAAGAAUAAGCACCGGCUAACUACGUG